rnacentral:rRNA from 1 species
GUGGGGAAUAUUGGACAAUGGGGGCAACCCUGAUCCAGCCAUGCCGCGUGAGUGAUGAAGGCCUUAGGGUUGUAAAGCUCUUUUGUCCGGGAAGAUAAUGACUGUACCGGAAGAAUAAGCCCCGGCUAACUUCGUGCCAGCAGCCGCGGUAAUACGAAGGGGGCUAGCGUUGCUCGGAAUCACUGGGCGUAAAGGGCGCGUAGGCGGACGAUUAAGUCAGGGGUGAAAUCCCGGGGCUCAACCUCGGAAUUGCCUUUGAUACUGAUUGUCUUGAGAUAGGAAGAGGUAAGUGGAAUUGCGAGUGUAGAGGUGAAAUUCGUAGAUAUUCGCAAGAACACCAGUGGCGAAGGCGACUUACUGGUCCUUAUCUGACGCUGAGGCGCGAAAGCGUGGGGAGCAAACAGGAUUAGAUACCCCUGUAGUCC